CCCAGACAGCCAGGAUGUUGGCUUAGAAGCAGCCAUCAUUUAAAGAAAGCGUAAUAGCUCACUGGUCGAGUCGGCCUGCGCGGAAGAUGUAACGGGGCUAAACCAUGCACCGAAGCUGCGGCAGCGAUGCUUAUGCGUUGUUGGGUAGGGGAGCGUUCUGUAAGCCUGCGAAGGUGUGCUGUGAGGCAUGCUGGAGGUAUCAGAAGUGCGAAUGCUGACAUAAGUAACGAUAAAGCGGGUGAAAAGCCCGCUCGC
rnacentral:rRNA from 2 species